rnacentral:rRNA from 1 species
CCUACGGGGCGCAGCAGUGGGGAAUAUUGCACAAUGGGGGGAACCCUGAUGCAGCGAUGCCGCGUGGAGGAAGAAGGUUUUCGGAUUGUAAACUCCUUUUAUCAGGGACGAUAAUGACGGUACCUGAAGAAAAAGCUCCGGCUAACUACGUGCCAGCGGCCGCGGUAAUACGUAGGGAGCGAGCGUUGCCCGGAAUUACUGGGUGUAAAGGGAGCGUAGGCGGGACGGCAAGUCAGAUGUGAGAACUACAGGCUUAACCUGUAGCCUGCAUUUGAAACUGUUCUUCUUGAGUGAUGGAGAGGCAG